rnacentral:rRNA from 1 species
GACGAGUCUCACGAACGUUGUUCGGAAUCACUGGGCUUAAAGGGCGCGUAGGCGGGCUGUCAAGUCUGGGGUGAAAUCCCGCGGCUCAACCGUGGAACUGCCUCAGAUACUGACGGUCUCGAGGGAGGUAGGGGCGAGCGGAACUGAUGGUGGAGCGGUGAAAUGCGUUGAUAUCAUCAGGAACUCCGGUGGCGAAGGCGGCUCGCUGGACCUCUUCUGACGCUGAGGCGCGAAAGCCAGGGGAGCAAACGGG